CCCUGUGCCUGGCGCGCUUCCCCCGGCAACCUGACCGGAAUCUCUUUCGACCCUGCCACUUACCGCCGCUUCUCUUCAUCAAAGUUGAGGAUGAGCCGGGGCCGCCGGUCAUCUCCAUCUCUUUUCUUCUUCUUGUUGCGGCCCAUUACAGUGAAGCUUCCGGCAGCGUGGCUGCUUCUGACUUAAAGCACUUCCGGGUGUAGCAGUUUCAGACUUCCGGUGCUUUGCCUGAGGUUGGAAGAAAGCGUUUGAUCAUCUGAAACUGGAGCUACAAACGUUCGUAGAUGGCUGUGAGCUGCCAUGUGGGUGCUGGGAACUUCAGUCAGCUCCUCUGGAAGGGCACUAAGUGCUCUUACCCACUGAGCCAUCUCCCAGCCCCACCCCUGUGGUGAGCCCUACAACCUCUCUGUGAGGUCAUCCCUUCCUUGUUCAAGGCAUAAAAAGUUAGUAGUGUAACGAAGACCAGAAGCUACCCAAAUACCAUUGGCCAUGAUGUACCCAGAGCAGAACUUGGAGUCCUCCACCAAAAUCACAUUUAACUCCAUGACAACCCUCAUGUUAACUGAGUAUUAUCCCUCAUGCAUAAAACGAUAAACUAAGGCUCAGAGAGACCAGCUACCAAGCACAAGGCCACACAACAGCUUGUAGCCCCUUACCUAGUUCAAGAUUCCUGUCCUAUAUGAGGUCAUGCUGUGUUGCCCCAGCCAGCCCUAAGUGGUCCUCUUGCCUCGGUCUCCCAAGUAGUUAAU